AAGUUUAACAGGUAUAUAUGAGGCCAAAAUCAAAUAACAAAUUACACCAUCAUAAACUAAAAAAAAAAACCUUUUAACUACAACAUGUUAGUAGAAACAGUAAUAGACAACAAUUCUGAGCUCCAACAGCUUUUGUAAACUUGUAUUACCGAAAUCUUUCCUUUAUUGUCAAACGUCUCUCAUGGAAUUACAGCAGAUGAAAUCGACGCCAAGAAAACUCAAGCGACGGGGUUAAAAUAGAAACGUAACCACACGAGAACCUCAAAUGCGACCUCUAACGGAAAAUCGGAACUCGACUCGUCGGAAAAUCGCCACCAACGACCUCGACAGUACCUAUUUUGUGACUGUUUUUAGGUGUUUUGAAAUGAGUUUUACACCUGGGUUUCAAUGAGUUUUUCAGCUCACUUCCAUGGCUGAAAUGGAGCUUUUCAGGCAGCUUUGUUGAAGGGAAGAAAGAGCAUCCAUGGGUGUUGGAAAAUUUCAGUCCAGAGUGACGAUCCCUCUUUGUUUUUUGUUUGUUUCCUUCGUUCCCUGUUACCCCCUUUUCGUUUGAGCUCUCUUGGUUAUGUGAGCUGUGCAUGAAGAAAGAAAUCUAAUGCCUAGAUCUCUUCGAGAGAAAUUAAGGAUAUAAAAAUGCCCAAAAUCUGUUCCUCUCCCCCCCUUUUUU
rnacentral:lncRNA from 1 species